rnacentral:rRNA from 1 species
GAUGAACGCUGGCGGCGUGCCUAAUACAUGCAAGUCGAGCGAACGGACGAGAAGCUUGCUUCUCUGAUGUUAGCGGCGGACGGGUGAGUAACACGUGGAUAACCUACCUAUAAGACUGGGAUAACUUCGGGAAACCGGAGCUAAUACCGGAUAAUAUUUUGAACCGCAUGGUUCAAAAGUGAAAGACGGUCUUGCUGUCACUUAUAGAUGGAUCCGCGCUGCAUUAGCUAGUUGGUAAGGUAACGGCUUACCAAGGCAACGAUGCAUAGCCGACCUGAGAGGGUGAUCGGCCACACUGGAACUGAGACACGGUCCAGACUCCUACGGGAGGCAGCAGUAGGGAAUCUGCCGCAAUGGGCGAAAGCCUGACGGAGCAACGCGGCGUGAGUGAUGAAGGUCUUCGGAUCGUAAAACUCUGUUAUUAGGGAAGAACAUAUGUGUAAGUAACAGUGCACAUCUUGACGGUACCUAAGCAGAAAGCCCCGGCUAACUACGU